rnacentral:rRNA from 1 species
UACGUAGGCAGCGAGCGUUGUUCGGAGUUACUGGGCGUAAAGAGUGGGUAGGCGGUUCUCUAAGUUCCGUGUGAAAUCUCCCGGCUCAACCGGGAGGGUGCGCGGAAAACUGGAGGGCUUGAGUACGGGAGAGGAAAGCGGAAUUCCUGGUGUAGCGGUGAAAUGCGUAGAUAUCAGGAGGAACACCUGCGGUGAAGACAGCUUUCUGGACCAUCACUGACGCUGAGACACGAAAGCGUGGGUAGCAAACAGG